GACGAACGCUGGCGGCGUGCUUAACACAUGCAAGUCGAACGAUGAAGCCGGAGCUUGCUCUGGUGAAUUAGUGGCGAACGGGUGAGUAACACGUGAGUAACCUGCCCUUGACUCUGGGAUAACUGCGGGAAACUGUAGCUAAUACCGGAUACGACCCUCGGAGGCAUCUCCUGGGGGUGGAAAGAAUUUCGGUCAAGGAUGGACUCGCGGCCUAUCAGCUAGUUGGUGAGGUAAAGGCUCACCAAGGCGACGACGGGUAGCCGGGCUGAGAGGGUGACCGGCCACACUGGUACUGAGACACGGCCCAGACUCCUACGGGAGGCAGCAGUGGGGAAUAUUGCACAAUGGGGGCAAGCCUGAUGCAGCAACGCCGCGUGGGGGAUGACGGCCUUCGGGUUGUAAACCUCUUUUAGCAGGGAAGAAGCGAAAGUGACGGUACCUGCAGAAAAAGCACCGGCUAACUACGUGCCAGCCGCCGCCGUAA
rnacentral:rRNA from 1 species